GUCACUAGGACAUUUUUGUGUGGUUGAAGGAGGUGGGGUACUAGCCUGAGGUGGAGGACUAGCAUUUGGUGUUGUUGAAGGUGGUGGAGAGCUAGCAUUAGGUGUUGUUGAUGGUGGUGGAGGACUAGCAUUUGGUGUUGUUGAAGGUGGUGGAGGGCUAGCAUUAGGUGUUGAAGGUGGUGGGGUACUAGCCUUAGGUGGAGGGCUAGCAUUAGGUGUUGUUGAAGGUGGUGGAGGACUAGCCUUAGGUGUUUUUGAUGGUGGUGGAGGGCUAGCAUUAGGUGUUGAAGGUGGUGGGGUACUAGCCUUAGGUGGAGGGCUAGNNNNNNNNNNNNNNNNNNNNNNNNNNNNNNNNNNNNNNNNNNNUUGAUGGUGGUGGAGGACUGGCCUUAGGUGUUUUUGAAGGUGGUGGGGUACUAGCCUUAGGUGGAGGGCUAGCAUUAGGUGUUGUUGAAUAUGGAGGAGGACUAGCCUUAGGUGUUGUUGAUGGUGGUGGAGGACAAGGUGAAGGUGGUGGAGGGCUAGGCUUAGGUGUUGGAUGAGAGAAUGCUGAAUAAGCAAGGAGAGAAAACAAUAUAAUGAGUGCACUAAGUUUGUUGGAAGCCAUUGUUAAGAAAUGAAGACUAAUGUUUUUGUGUGUUUUGAUGUUUGAAUAAUAGAAUGAGAAACAAAGGGGGAAUUGGAUCACUUUUAUAGGCAAUUGUUUUUUAGUGUUGUUAAUUUUUUCCUACUAGACUUCUAGAAUGUCUCAUAACUAAGUCAAACCAUAUUAUAGAACAAUUGCUAUUAAUAUUAAUUUGUUAAAGUCAAAUUUACAUUAGAUAUUUUUUAUCUUAUUUAUUUGUAACACUUUAGUUAUUUAUAUAUAUCUUUUUAUCAUUUAAACUUUUUAUUUUUUAUAACAUGCACAUAUAAAUUAUUUUUCAUAUUUUUUUAUUAAAAAAAUGCAUAAUUUUAUUUUUCAAUUUUUUUAUUAGAAUUAAACAAAACCAUAAUUUUGACAAACAUCGUUCAUUAUCUUCAUUAAUAUCUUUGUAUCUCUAAUAUUUGAUUUCUGCCAUUAAGAAGAUACCAACAACAACAACAAUGUUUUGCUUUUUGAAUUUUGAAUUUUUUGUUUUUGUUUAAAGAAGAUAAAAAUAUGAAUAUAUUGAUGAAAAUGAUGAAUGAUUUUCAUCAAAAUUUUGAGUUUGUUUAAUUUUAAUUAAAAAAAUAGAAAAAAAAAUUAUAUGUGCGCAUCAUAAAAGAUAAAUGUCCUAUAUUAUCUUUACAUCAAUACUUGAUAAAAUUAUUUUGACAAGUAUUAUUUUUUGUCUAAUAGUCUAGUGGCUACAAAUUUCACUUUAAAAGUGAAUAAAUGGGUCCGGGUUUUGAACUCAUGCUCGUGCAUAAAAUAUGCGAUGUCCUUACCAACUGAAUUAAGCUCACAUAGACUAAAAUUAUUAUCUUUAUUUCAUUUAUAAACAUUUUCUUAACAUGUGUGAAAUAAGUGCGGAGGAAGAAAUAGUAGAGAGAUCUCUCCUUAUAGUGGCGUAUGCAAGAGUUUAAUUAUUUGUAAGAUUUAAUUAUAGAGGUUUGAUUAAUGAAAUGUACUCUUCAUUUUAAACUAUUCUUAUUCUACAUUGUUGGGGAGCAUGAAUAGGCAAAAUUUAGUGUUAUACGCUUGAAAAAUAUGAACAAUACUCUUAUAUAGUGAUUUGAGAAGAGAGUGUAAAGAGAAGAGGAAAAAAAGAAAGAAAGGUAUGUAUGAACAAUGUAUAAUGUAAUAUUUUUGUCUAAAUAAAUGUGUUCAUAUAACAUUUUUGUUCUUCAAAUUAGUUAAUAGUUGGUAUCAGAGUGAAGUUUAAUUUAAAGUGGUCGACUUGAGUAAACAAUCUCUAAUGUGAUAUAGUUGCAUGGAUGAUCUCACCGCGUGAAAAAGAUAUAGUUGUGUAGCACAAGAUUAGAGUACAUGCCUGGCAUGUGUCUCAAGCUAUAGCUAGCAAGACACAACCCACCUGUUUUUGUUGUGUGUGACUUAAAUUCUAUAGUUCCAAUAUGUUUCGAGUGCCUGGCGUCUUGAUCCCAACUGUGAGGAACUUCAUGUCGCGCACGAGGCGCUUCAGGGGGCGUGUGCGCCUCAUGGCGAGGCGCUUCACUAAAAUCAUGUUUAAUUAAUAAGAGGAAUUCAAUUUCAAUACUUCCAACCCUAAAAUCAAAUAUAGAUUGACUUUUUAGAUAAAUUAGGAGCAUUAUGAGACAUCAUAGUGACUAGUAGACAUCAAAGAGACAGCUAGUAGCAUUAAUCUUAUACCUCUAAAUACAGAAUGACUAGUUAAACAAAAGAUGAAAAAAAUGUAGUAGCGAAACAGAGUUAGGAAAAAGAUAAGGAAUUACACACAUAUUGACAAGUUGUUUUUUCUGACAAAAUACACGUUGACAAUUUGUGAUUGUGAUAUUUUGCAUGUUGUUUUCAGCCUAUUACGUUAAAAUUAUAAUUAGAAAAUGGGGUACGUAGAUCGAGUUUGUCUUUGUUUCAUUUCAUCCUUGUUACUAGGUUGUUAACAUGAAUUAUUGAAAUCAAUACACAUUCCUAGAAUUCUUAUGUCGGUAUAUGCAUGGUUACAAUUGCAGUGGCUAUAGCAAAGUCAGCACAUCCUUUAGAAGGUGACGGAUGUAAGAGUCAAAGUAAAUAAAUAUGAUUUUAUUAUUAUUAAAACAAAAUCCACCGCAAUUAAAAUUGCAUAAAGGUCUUAGUUGGCUAACGAACUAGAAGACAAUGAAAGAGGAUUAAUCAAAGAGUAUUUUAAUUAAGAUAUGAAUGUUGCCUAUACAAAUAUUAGCUAUAAUAAAUGUCGAUAUUCGACUAAACUCAACGAUGGUGUGUGUUUCUGUUUCCUAAUUGUUGAUGCUUGUACAUUGCAUUGCACCCCUAUAUAUUUUGCGGCGUUUUCUGGUAGUUUGUCCAUGCAACACAUCCUCUCAAAUCAUAUAUAUACUCCCUCCGGCCUCAUAUAUAAGCAAAAGUGACUUUUUUAAAUCCAUUGAAAAAUGAAUGUAUUUAGUCUAAAAUAUAGACCAAAUACAUCACUUUUUCAAUGAAUCCAAAAAAGCUAUUUUUGUAUACAUAUGAGGCCGGAGGAAAUACUAUUUCUAUCAACAAAUAAACACAAUAAUAAAACAAUAUGCAAUUAAAAUGAAAUUCCCUCACCUUGCAAGAACUUGCGAGGUGCAAACAAAUACAUGGCAACAAACAUAAUAAAUUGUCUCCAUGACCAUAGUUUAUUUGGCAGUAACAUCACACUAUAUAUGCAAAUUAAACUUGGAGUUCAAAUUUCAAACCACUACUAAAAACAGGCUUAUUAGUGCGAGUCUUUAAGUGGAGGUUUUAUAAAACCCCCGAAAAUUAGGAGAGAAUAUAAAAUACGAAAAACAAUUUCACUCAAUGCACUCUUGAAGAUUUUUUUAACAUUAGACUUAUUCACUUUUAAAAGUAAAAUUCUAGUCACUAGACUAAAAAACAAUAAAUCUGAUGCACAAGGGACACCAAGAUUUUGACAUGGAAACCUUGCAACGUCGACCCCCAAAAGUAAUGAUAAAAAAGCUAAAACCCCCUCCGUUCCUAAUCUUGAGUUCUUCUAUCUUUUUAUUUUUAUCCUAAAAUAAUGUUCUUUUAAUAAAUCAAUGUACAAUUAAUUAUGUUUUACUAUUUGUACCCUUACAGAAACAAAAUACAUUCAUUAAAUAAAUUAUAUUUUUUCUUAAUAAAUUAAGGGUAAAAAUGACUUAACUUAUUCAAAUUUAUUAUUUCUUAAUUGAUAUACCAAACUCUAAAAGAACCAAAUAUUAGAGAUAAAGAGAAUACUAUAUACAUCAUUCACUAAAUUUUACUCUUUGUUGGGAGGUGAACAUUUUUUUUUUGAACUGCUAAAUUUUAUUAAUAAUGCAACUGAGCCCAAGACAAGCAUGGUACACAUACAAGUACAUCACAAAGGAAGAAAAAUAAACUAGUGAAAACAUCUAAUCCACCAAUACUCGUUACAUGCGCUUAAAUUAAAAAUCCCUGAACAAACUACUUCAAAAGUACAACAAAAUCAAAAUAACAGCAUACCAACGCCUCCACCCAUCCUCCUCAACAUAAACCUCAUCGCAUCAGCCACAACCGAAACGACAUUCUCGAAGCCAAACAAGAUUCGCUGCACCAAACACCAAAACCAAAACCUUUGAAAGACACCAACACCAACACUAACACCAAAACCUUUGAAUGACCCGAAUCGAGACAAUAAGCCAAACCCUUUGGAAUAUCAGCAGUGAUUACAAUAAAGGACGGAAUUGGAUUAAAAUUAUGUUCUCAUAUAUACAUUUGUGUGUUGAGCCGAUGAUGGAUAAGAUCCGAUUCAUUUCUUUCUUAAAAAUGGUUUUGGGUAAGAAAGUCAGGAUCUUCACGUACCUUUUACGAGGAACACUUUCUAUGCAAGUGCUAAUGUUUUAUUUCAUAUCUUUUUCUUGUUGCUUUCAUUUGGUGGACUUUCUGUUGUGUCACAUCUUCUCUCGAUAUAUAUACUUUUAUUUUGGGUUUGCCUCUUGUUUUAUUGGAUUGGAAAUACCCUGGGGGUCCUUUUAUUUUUCUUUAUAUUCAAGUUUUAUACCAAAAAUACACAAUUGUCACCCGUUUCAUUUUCAUCCAUAUGAUAGUUGUCUAUAAAUCAAAUAUUAAUGUGGUAAAUGUUUCUGUAACCAUAAAAAUAAAAUAAAAGUGGUGAAUGUUUCUUUUGGAGCUACCGUAUCGUUGUAUUCUUAAUCAUUAAAUAAAAGUGUUUAUAUAUUUAAUAAUUACUUCUCUUAUAUAUCUUUUUCACCUUCUAUUUAUUUUAUUAUCAUUAACUCUUGGUUNNNNNNNNNNNNNNNNNNNNAGUGACAAGCAAUCAUAAAAUGAAACUUUGCCAAAUUUAUUAAAAUUCAAAGAACAAGUUACUAAAUGAGGCAAACAUGCUUACCCCAUUUUUAAAAUGAUAUAAAUGCCACACACAAAUAGAUAUAGUGCGUAAAUAUUGACGAUGAGUUUAGCAGAAUUACGGUAAUAAUGUAAUUUUGACGAAAAUCACACUUUAAAGUUUCAACAAAAUUAUAAUAUCACUGAUCGUGCACACAAAUAAUAGUAAGUAUGGCUUGAACCUUUGAUAUGAAAUUCUAAGAACAUUGGAAACCAGAAGGAACAGAUUUUUCACAAGCACUAAGUAGAAGACUUAGUGUGACAGGUACAUCCAAGUUGAUACCAAGAAUAUUAGCCUUAAUAGCAGUACAAAGACAAAGUGCUGCAUCCAAAUCAGCCAAACCUUGAAUCAAUGCACAACACUUGCUUGAAGCAGGACUUCCAACAAUAACAUUAACAAGUCCUAAAACAUCAGCACAAACACCUAGUUUUAAUGUGUCACUAGGACAUUUUUGUGUUGUUGAAGGAGGUGGAGCACUAGCCUUAGGUGGAGGACUAGCAUUUGGAGUUGUUGAAGGUGGUGGAGUACUAACCUUAGGUGGAGGACUAGCAUUGGGUGUUGGUGGUGGAUUACUAGCCUUAGGUGGAGGGCUAGCAUGUGGUGGAGGAUGUGUUUUUGAUGGUGGUGGAGGACAAGGUGAAGGUGGUGGAGGGCUAGGCUUCGGUGUUGGAGGUGGUUUGCAUGAACCACAAGCAUGAGAGAAUGUUGAAUAAGCAAGGAGGGAAAACAAUAUAAUGAGUGCACUAAGCUUGUUGGAAGCCAUUUUUACACUAAUGUUUUGUGUGUUCUGAUGUUGAAUAANNNNNNNNNNNNNNNNNNNNNNNNNNNNNNNNNNNNNNNNNNNNNNNNNNNNNNNNNNNNNNNNNNNNNNNNNNNNNNNNNNNNNNNNNNNNNNNNNNNNNNNNNNNNNNNNNNNNNNNNNNNNNNNNNNNNNNNNNNNNNNNNNNNNNNNNNNNNNNNNNNNNNNNNNNNNNNNNNNNNNNNNNNNNNNNNNNNNNNNNNNNNNNNNNNNNNNNNNNNNNNNNNNNNNNNNNNNNNNNNNNNNNNNNNNNNNNNNNNNNNNNNNNNNNNNNNNNNNNNCUUAACAAUGGAAGAUUGCUGGAAAUCUUCAUCAAUCCCUUUAACUUCUUCAAGUUUCGAUGGUUGUGGUGCUUCGAUGCUGUUCACUGAUGAACAACCCUGUCUAGGUACACACAUGUGGGUAGACAGCAUAUUGCUAUUUGGGGUUGAUGGUUUCUGAGAAAAUUUUGUAUCAACUUCCUUGUCCAUCUCUAUCACUUUGAAUCUGAUCCUUUUAUGCUUCAAUGCGUGAUCAAUAGUAAAAGGUUCAUCACAUACAAAACAUAAACCCAAUUCCAUCUUCUCCUCCACAUCGAGAGCACUCAAAAUUUUCACCAAAUUAUGUUUUGAACCCAUNNNNACGGGUAAAUAGAUUCUAGGGACGAAACCGAUAGAAUCGAGUCUUAAAGUAGGAAUUCUAAUGAAUUGAGUAGAAUUCGGUACAAAUGAGAUUAUGCAAACAUGAGAGAGUUUUGAUUCUUGAGAAGAAGAUAAUUUGUUGAAUAUUAAUUGAUUUCUUUCAAAUGAGGCACAAGAUCUUUAAAUACAACUCUCAGGGCUAAAAGAGUAAAUAACAUAAAAUAAACUAUUUAUUUAAAAUAAACUAUUAAACUAUACUUAAUUCAUAAAGUGUUCAACCUCCACUUUUCUAAGUAAUGUGGGAUUUAACCACUCACACUUACCACAACUAUCUCCCACUCAAGUGUGAGUCCAUCCAUUCUUGGAUAUGCUCCCCGGCCCUCAAGCAGAAGCUUUCUUCAUCCUACACUUGUACCACUGUAAGCCACAUUGCUCGACGGGACUCGCCGCCUGACCACCUUUGUCAAGAAGACUUUCGAUACAUGGAGCCAGUUCAACCCUUUGUCGAUCCAUCGACUCUAAUACCAUUGUUGGGUCAUUACGAGGGGACAACCGGUGGAUCAUCCCCAUUGGGUUCAAGAACAACUUCACAUGUGAGUUGGACACCACACUUUUAUAGGCGCACACAUAAAUGAUAAAAAGUAAAUCAUAAAUAUAAUUUAUUCACAUCAAUUGACGACAUUGACUAUUUGAGUUUUGUAUGUGUGCCCAAAUUUAAAUAGUUCGUGGUUGUGCCCAUAAAAGUGUUCCGGCCUCCAUAUUAUUUUAGAAAAUUUGAUUGAACUUUCUAAAUAAUCUUUCCAAAAAAUGACCCAAGAACAUGGUCAUUAUAUUCUUAUCCCUAAAAUAUUGUGUAACUUAUUUCAUAAUUUUUUUUAUCAUCAAAUAUAUAAACAUGUAUACAGUAAAUGAGAAUAUCAAAAUCAUAAAAUUUAUCGUAAUAGUUGCACCUAAUUUUGCAAGAAUCAAAAUAAUCAAAUUACUCGGGUCUAAAAUUGCAAAACAAACUUGCAAACGGCAAAACAGAAUAACAAGAGUUGCAAGACUCUAAGUUAACUAAAGUUAUGGCUCACUAAAGUUAUGGCUCACAAAAUAACAAGGUUGAUGCAAUUUACCAGUUUAUACUAAUAAUAUGAAUGCAGCUGUGAGUUUGUUUACAAUAUUUUAUUUUUUUUAGCAAUUUUAAUUUUAUAUUAUAUCAAUGUAAUCUAUUAAUCUAAAUGAAUAUUUGAAAUAACAGAAGUGCAAGACACUCUAAAUUAACUAAAGUUAUAUUUUACAAAAUAACAAGGUUUAAGAUUGAGAUAUGUUACGACAAAAAGUGAAAAAAAUUAUUGGAUUUAGAAUAAAAAAAAAAAUUUAAUGAGCUGAACAAACUUUUAUUUACAAUAAAAUAUUAGUGUUUUUUUAUAAAAAAAAAAAAAUUAGUUUUGUUAGUAAUUAUGUUGGGAGUGAUUUUCAAACACUCAACCAAUUCCUUACCACUCCACUUCUCAACUCUACAAUAUCUUCAAGCCAUCAUAUUCUAUCCCCUAUCAAAUCAAAAUACAAAAUAUAUGCACAGUUAGGAAAAUGAUUAGGAAUUAGAUGUUGAUGUUUGAAGUGUGAAUUGAGUUUAUAUCAGAUCAAAAAGUAGACGUUAUGAUCCAUGAAACUAAUAAUACCUUAAGGUUUUCCGUUAAUUAUGAUGUGUUGUCUAACUCACUUGUGUAGUUGUUCAAGACCCGAUAUGAUGAUCCUUAAACCCCCUCGUGACCCAUGCAACAAUAGUAUCAGAGUUAAUGGUUUGACGAAGGGUUCGAUCGACUCUAGCUUGUAUGUCUUCCUAACAAAGGUGGUCAGACAACAUGUCCGUUGAGUGCCACAACUGCGGUGCAAGUGUAUGGAUGAAAAAAAUUCCGUUUGAGGGAGAACAUGCCCAUAAAAAAAUGGAUGGACUCACACUUGAGGGGAAAAUUGUUGGUAUUUCAAGUGUGAGUUGAGUCUCAUAUCAAAUGUAGUGAAUUUUGAACAUUUUAUUAGUGAAAUGACCCAUGAACGUAAUGCCUUAAAGUUUGAGUUAAGAUGUGGUGUUCAAUUCGUUGAAGACCUAUAUGAUCUCGAAUCCCCUAGUAACCCAACAUUAGAUACAUAUUGACAAGUUGUUUCUUCUUGACAAAACACACAUCUAGUUGUGAAUGGGAUAUUUUUUUGCAAGUUGUUUAAUACGUUAAAUUAUAUUGAGAAACUGGGGUAUAGAGUUUGCCUUGUUUCAUACCCAUUACUAGGUUGUUAACAUGAAUUAAAUUGAAAUCCAAAAUAGGAAAAUUUUGUGCAGUAUAACACACGCACAAGUUCAUAUGCCUACAAAUUUUGAGUCGGCUAGGCUCCGAUUGCAGUGACUAUAGGGCAAGUUCAACAUCCUUUAGAAGGUGAGAGAUCAUAAGAGUCAAUGAUGUAAAUAGGAUUAUUUAAUUAUUAGAACAAAAUCAACAAUAUACAAUUAAACUUGCUUUCAUUCAUAUAUUUGUUAGAAUUAUUGGUUCAAACACGCGUUCUUACAUGUGUUUUCCUUUCACUUCUGACCUAAGUAAUAAUUAAUUUUUAAUAAAUUUCUUUUUUUUUAUAAGCAAAAUAUAUUAUAAUGGAGUAUAAGGGGUACUUGAACCCUUAUAAUUCAAAGUCAGAAGUUAAAUGCUUUGAAUACAUCCCAAAGGGUCAUGACACCAGUCCUUAAAUGAUAAAUUAGAGUUUCGGCCAUACCGACUACUAAACCAAACCCACGAACUGAAUUUAAUGUCAUCCACAAGAAGAAGAGCAUUUGGAAAAGCUCCCUUGAAAAUCACACUAUUUCUAAGCUUCCAUAUGUUCCAAGAAGUUGCCAGCCAAAUCAAAUGUUUAACCCGUCCACCCUUCUUUGAUUUUACCAUGUCACCAAAUAGCGCAAAAUGAUUCCAACCUUUUUUAUUCGGUGGAAGUCUCUUUCCUAUCCACUUAAAAAUCGCUUCCCAAAUUCGUUUGCUAAACGGACAGAGGAAAAAAAGAUGGUUGCAAUCCUCAUUAUCAAGAAAGCAAAAAACACAAGAUAACUCAUGCACGUUAAUAAGGAUACCUCUGUAAAAAAAUAGUGAGAGAAUUUAAGAUAUUAAGUCAAACUCUCAAUUCUAAGACGGUAUCAGAGUCUCUCGAAUAUUCAUUGAGUUUAAUAGUAUUGGGCGUAAGAGGGGUAUGUAAGGUGAGGCAAUUUCAUCCAUCUCACUUCCGAUGUGGACUUCUUAACCGUUGUCAUAGGGCACGUGUUUAGUGCGACAAAAAGUGAGUGUCAAGUAAGGUGGAAUUCAGUUGCAUUGUAAUAGUCAAGAGUGUCAUAUAUUUAUUUUACAAAUAAUCAAGUGUAUCACACCAAAACCAAACAUAUUAAUGUGGUUUUUCACAAGAUCAAGGAGAUGAUAUGAUUUUUUAUGUUUUUUUAAUGCGGAAUUUGAUAAGAUAUAUUUUUAAGGUUUCUAAAAGAAGGUGAAGAAUAAUUAAGUAGUACAGAAAGAUAAUUAGAAACAGGAUAAGAACUAGCUAGAUAUUUAUCGACAAGUUUUUUAUUUUUGUUGACAAAUUACACAUUGUCAAGUUGUUUUCAGCCUAUUACGUUAAAACUAUAAUUAGAAACUGGGGUAUAGAAUUUGCCUUGUUUCAUACCCAUUAGUAAGUUGUUAACAUGCAUUAUUGAAAUAAAAAAUAUAUAAGAAAUUUUGUCAGCAACACAUCCAAGAGUCCGAUUGCAUUGACAAUAUGGCAAGGUCAGCAUAUAUAUAUCCUUUAGAAGGUGACAGAUCUAAGAGUCAAUGUAAAAAUCAUUUGUUGAUUAUUAAAACAAAAUCAAUCACUAUUAUACUUGCUUUACUUUUUUUUUGAAGUCGUUUUAAUCUCCUCCCGAUUGCGUAUANNNNNNNNNNNNNNNNNNNNNNNNNNNNNNNNNNNNNNNNNNNNNNNNNNNNNNNNNNNNNNNNNNNNNNNNNNNNNNNNNNNNNNNNNNNNNNNNNNNNNAAAACGUUAUUGAGAGGUGUAACAUUUGGUGUCAAACUAGUUGGUGUCAACGGAUCCUGACUCUAUAUAUAUAUAUAUAUAAAUUAAAGACUUACUCAAACGAAUAUGAGUUACAAUACCCAUGUAUAUAAGUUUGGUGUUAAUGGUUCAUUCAAUGAAUUUUCAAUUUUAUAUAUAAAGGUCAUACAAUGUUCACAUAAUUAUAUUAAGUAGAAUAAUAAUUAAAAUAACACAUUAUAAGAGUAAUUACAUUUAACCAUAAAUAUCUUCAUUGUGCAAUAUCAUAUACUCGAUAGAAGUAUCAAUAUUAUACUUAUAUUUGUCUAUUAUGAACUUACAAAAUGUGAAAUUUGGGUGAAACACUAGCAUAAUAUAAUUUCGAGUGAUGGUCGGAAUAGCGAUCAGAGUUGUAGUCGGUGGUGACAACUGAUGGUGGUGGUUUUCAAUGGUCAAAGUGGUAGUCAGAGUGGUGAUGGGUGAUGGUGUAAUUGGUAAUAUGGUCAAACUGAUUAUCAAAAGUGAAUAGAAUAUUGAUCAACACUGAUCAAAUUAAUGGUCGAGAGUAAUCAAAGUGGUGGUUGACGAUAGUCGAUGGCGGUCCACGGAGUGGUGGUUUAAUGUGGGGUUUGGUUUUUAACAAUUGGUUUAGGAAUUAUAUCAUCGAGUUCCACAAGCAACUUACAUGCUCUACUCCAAUUCUCACAACUUCAUUAUACCAAUAAAACAAAAUACAAUAAUUCAUACAUUUACAAAUUUAAAUAUGAUCACAAGCAUAAUCAUGAAAUGAAAGGUCACCAAAUUUAUUAAAAUUUAAAGAACAAGUUGCUAAAUGAGGCAAACAGGCUUACCCCAUUAUUAAAAUUACACACAUCUCACGCAUAAAUAAAUAUAGUGCAUAUUUUCAAUUAAAGUAUGAAUUUAGCAAAAUCACAUUGACACACUUCGAUUUUGUCAAAAGUCACACUUUGUAACUCCAACAAAAUCAUAGUAUCCCUAUAAUUUAGUUAAAGUCAUUGUAAUUCCAAUUGUGCACACAAACAAUAACUGAAAUAAAAUUAAGUACCCGUGACCCUUGUAGAAACAUAAGUACUAAGCAUAUGGCUUUGAAGUACUUUUGACAUGAUCAAAUUCUAAGAACAUUGGAAACCAGAAGGAACGGAUUUUUCACAAGCACUAAGUAAGAGACUUAAUGUGAUAGGAACAUUCAAAUUGAUACCAAGAACAUUAGCCUUAAUAGCAGUACAAAGACAAAGUGCUGCAUCCAAAUCAGCCAAACCUUGAAUCAAUGCACAACACUUGCUUGAAGCAGGACUUCCAACAAUAAUAUUACCAAGUCCUAAAAGAUUAGCACAAACACCUAGUUUUAAUGUGUCCCUAGGACAUUUUUGUGUGGUUGAAGGAGGUGGGGUACUACCCUUAGGUGGAGUAGUAGCCUUGGGUGGAGGACUAGGUUUAGGUGUUGUUGAAUGUGGUGGUGGACUAGCCUUAGGUGUUUUUGGUGGUGGUGGAGGACAAGGUGUAGGUGGUGGAGGGCUAGGCUUAGGUUUUGGAGAUGGAGUUGGUUUGCAUGUACCACAAGCAUGAGAAAAUGUUGAAUAAGCAAGAAGAGAAAACAAUAUAAUUAGUGCACUAAGCUUGUUGGAAGCCAUUUUUAC
rnacentral:lncRNA from 1 species